rnacentral:tRNA from 2 species
GCCACCUUAGCUCAGUUGGUAGAGCACCGCAUUGAAAAUGCGGGUGUCCGCGGUUCAAGUCCGCGAGGUGGCAUCA